rnacentral:rRNA from 1 species
AUUGAACGCUGGCGGCAGGCCUAACACAUGCAAGUCGAACGAGCGGCGGACGGGUGAGUAAUGUAUGGGGAACUGCCUGAUAGAGGGGGAUAACUACUGGAAACGGUAGCUAAUACCGCAUACUAUCGGAUGAACCCAGAUGGGAUUAGCUAGUAGGUGGGGUAACGGCUCACCUAGGCGACGAUCACUAGCUGGUAGGAGAGGAUGAACAGCCAAACUGGAACGGCGAGAAGGCCCAGACUCCUACGGGAGGCAGCAGUGGGGAAUAUUGGACAAUGGGCGCAAGCCUGAUGCAGCCAUGCCGCGUGUAUGAAGAAGGCCUUCGGGUUGUAAAGUACUUUCAGCGGGGAGGCGUUACCCGCAGAAGAAGCACCGGCUAACUCCGUGCCAGCAGCCGCGGUAAUAC